GCCCAAGCGAGGGGCACCUCGAGGACUGUCUAACCUGAGAAUGGUGAAAUGUAAGGGUCAAUCUCAGGUUCGUCAGCCCAUGAGAUGCCUUCUCCAGAGCG
rnacentral:pre_miRNA from 9 species